CGAAUUAGAAAACAGAGUAAACGAUGAGAGGUGGAAAAUCCUGAAAGGAAUUGGAUUUUUUUUUUCAGUUUUGCAAAUUGCCUGGUUGCUCUGCCAGCCUUUCCCUCCUUCUUCCUCAUAAUCAAAUAGCUAGAAAUUGCUAGAAAACCCACCGAAUGGGAGAGUUUGGACGCUGGUGUCUGCAAGCUUUUCUAGAAACAACGGUGAGACUAAGGUACUGCUUCACUGCAUAAUUAAACUCUCCUUGAGCUGUCCAGGAGCAUUUCCCAAGUUUUUAAGACUGACAAGAAAAGAAUGGAAGAAUCUGGCAGGCAGCCAAACUAGACUGAACUCAGUAGGCAGGCCUGAAAGAGACUCGGGAAGUUGCAGGGCAUAAUUUGAAUGGCUUGGUGGUGGUACUGGGGCUUAAAUAGGGGGGUUCUUUUAAAAUGAAAACUUUAAAUGACUAAGAGUCUUUGGGGAAAAAAAUAAAAACAAAAACAAUUGACUAAGCAUAGAAUGCAGUUGAAUAUCAAGGAGAGUUAAGAAGGCCCAAAGGGAAGUGUGGUCCUUUCCACCCUUGCUCUGAAAUAGCAACAGUUUGCGUGUGCUUACCCUGUUACUCGGUCUUCUCCAGAUGCACCUUGUUAGCUGCCACUUCAGUCCUUCAGGCCUUGACCUUUCUUCUUUGUUUUCAUGGCCAGUAAGAAUGAAAGACCAGCACUGAGCAGAUGGUUUUCCACCUAAAUUGAUUAAUUCAAUUAAUUUCAGAUAGCUUGGAUUUGGGAUCAUAGAAUUAAAGGGGAAAAUUCAUCUAGUAUGUCUUUCUUGUAUUACAGAAGAGCCCCCAUAAUAAACAAAUCUUCCUCCUUUCCCUGAAGCAGGAUAAAUCAGGGUGCAAACUUACUGCUCCUUUCUCAAUUCCAGGCAAUCUAGAAACCCUGAGCCUUAUCUGAAAUUCAGACCCUUUUCUUUAUUAUCUUUGCUUCUAUUUAAUCUGUCCCUCAAUUUGUUCCUUAGUGAGGUGGAUGAGGUAGGCAUGGGAGGUAAAGGGUAAAAAGCAAAUGUGGUUUGUAUUCCUUCUGAAUGUUGGAGUUUGAGGUUGUAAAUGUCACUCUUCUCUCUGAGGUUGACUUUAUGAAUCACCCUGUGCAAAGUGUCUUUCUUUACCAUGACUUUAGUUUUUCCACUUGCAAAAUAAACUUUCCUCUACACAUUCCCAAGGUCACUAAAGGGAUCAAGUGAUGUGAAAAGCUUUUUUUUAAAGGUCAUGACUUUUCUCACUGAGUCUAUGAGAAUAAAAUUGAGUUGUUUAUAUCUGUUAUACGUGCACAAUAAUAUUUCUGUAAACUUAUUUUUUACCUUUUAUUCAUAGCUAUAGUAUGACUGCAUUGAUAUUAUUGCUACUCCUCCCUUUCUGAUUUAACAUCUCCUGUCCUUUUCCCACAAUUUGUCAAGUUAAUCUCUUCAUAUAUCACACACACACACACACACACACACACACACACACACACACAACUAAGAAAAACCUUACUACUUUCACUUACUGUUACUGGUAUGUUUAGGAUGACCACUUGGGAUAAAGUAACUUGUGUCAAGGAUCCAGUCCCGGGAGGAAACUCUUCUCUCAAAGCCACUGAUUGACUGUAGCUCUUCGUGGAGGGAUGGGACCUUGUGAAAGAUGCACAUUCACAUUGUCAUAUCAGCUAGUAUUGUCAUUACGUUGAUCUUGUUAGGUGACUGUGUUGUUGACGUUUCAUGAGUGAGGUUUUUCCAUCAUGUCUGAGUUCUCUGUCUGGCAGUAGCUGUCCUUGUCCUUCCUCUUCUAACAGAGUUUUCCCUGAGCUUUAGGCGUAUGAAUUAUGCUGUAGAUGUAUUUGGGUCUGGAUUACUCAUGCCAUUUAGUCUCAGCACUUUGAACAACUUAAUCUGUUGGAAAAAAACAAAACCCUCUUGGAUGAGGCAUGAGGGUUGCUCUUAUCAAAGGGGCAAGUGUGAGAGCCAGAGUCAGGAGCCAGGGCUCGGAGUGCACAGUGUCUCAAGCCUAGGAGGGUGCCAUGUCUCAGGCCUAGGAGUGUUCAAUAUCUCUGGCCUAGGAGUGUGAAGUGACUCAGGUCCAAGAGUGUGCAAUAUCUCAGGACUAGAAGUAUGAAAAGUCUUAGGCCAGCUUGGUUUUCAGAUUUUCAUUGCUGAGCAUGUUGAGUGAGAUUUUGUUAUAAUAAAGGCUGAGUCAUUUUGUUAAGCAGAAGAGAAUAAUUCAUUGCUAUUUGUUUAUCUUUAUAUUAAAAAACAGUUAAUUUUGAAGCAUAGCUUAUAUUUUUCUUUAUGAAACGUUAACAAGCAUGUUUGCAAAAUUGUGCUUAUUUAGUUGUUUAUCAAUGUUUGCACAUUCAUUUUUUUGGUGCUUUUGAGGUAGUACCUCAUUCUGUAUCCCGGAAUACCUGGUAACUCACUAUUCAUGUAUCCAAGGCUGGUAUACACUGGAAAAGAGGCAAUCCACCAGCCUCAUUCCAUCUUUUGAGUUCAGGAAUUCCAGGCAUGAGCCUCCUUGCUAGCCCGCCUUUCUUAGAAGCAACAUUUGAGAAACUAAAAUACAUUUGUAGUGUAGAAACUAACUGGUGAUAAGCACAACAAUUUCCAUAUGGAUUCUAUGCUAGAUUUUGGAGCCACUGAUGGGUUGACUCCUUUAGUAUUUGUUAUGUGCUGAAUAUGAGCCUUGUUUCUCUGUCAAGAUUUUAGCACUGAACUCAGCUUUGUUUGUUUAUCUGUAUGUGUUAAUUCAUUUGUUGUCUGUAUGAACAUCUAUAACUUGUGAACUUGUUAGUUGGUGAGUUGGUGAUAUGUGAUACUUGUGAAAUAUUUAAUUUUUAGUUUAGCUAAUAGAUACUAUGUCAACAGUAAAACAUAUUACCUGUUUUUAGGUUCCUUGUGUUAUUCAUAAGAACAGGACAAUUUAAAAAAGAAAACAGAAUAAACAUGAUAAGUGUCUUAAAGACAGAAGCUCUGUAGAAUGUUUACUAAUAGUCUUUGUUAUUAGAUUUCACAUUAUCACAAAUAAUGGAUGUAUCAAAAGCAAGUAUAUAUAGACUAAAGUGGUCUAAAUUGUUGAUAUAGUAGUCAGAAUAUCCAUACAUUUAGUUUAACUACCAAGUGAAUAUUUAAGGAUAUAUUGUGUUAAUAUUAAUAUAAAAUGUCUACUUUUUUCUUUUAAAAUCUUUUUCCCCUCUGUAGAAUGGAAAUGAUGUCUUUUUGAUGUAAGUUUUACUUAGCAGACUUAUUUGUUUGCGAUUCUAGUUGCAAUAUUGUGUGUUGUCUUCUAAAACCUCUAAAGGAUAGAAAAAGUUAUUACUUUGAACAUAAUUAUGAAUUCACGAUAGUUACAGAAACGAAUUGCAUGGAUUCUGUGAGCCCUGGUCCCUAAAUAUAUGAAAGGCUGGUGGAUCUAGACGUGUUUGCAUUAAUGCAUUUAUAGAUCAGGAAGUUUAUGUUUGUUCCCAUGGGAUACUAAAUAUAUUCAAAUUGGAAGAAGAAAAAUGACAUAAACUUUUUACAUAUCAAUUGCUCUGCUUCCAAGCAGCAGAGAUAUUAAAUUGAAUCAUACCUUUAUUUUCAAAGAGAAUAAUCGCACAUUAUUCUUCGUAAGUAAGCCUCUCUGCUUUCACAGUGCUAUUUGCUAAUUUUGUGUUUGUUUUGUGCUUAGGAAAUGGUUUUAUCCACUCUUGUGAUGCUAACCAUGCAUGAUUUUUGACUUUUAAAUAACACAGUUAGUUCACAUAUUGUGUAGGAGAAUAAAUGCUGGUUUUCUGUUUUCAUUGAGGUGGUAUAUUUGUGGUAAUUUUGAAAUUGUUUUAAAAGGUCCAAUGUUCUAUGCUUAGAAUAAUUUAGGAAGAGUGCUUCAUCUCACAUAAUAUGAGUAAGUGAUGAACUCAGGUCGCAAAUGGAUCUCCAGUGUUCUGUACUAUGUUGCAAAG
rnacentral:lncRNA from 1 species